rnacentral:lncRNA from 1 species
AUGUAAUUUCAUUCAAUAUCAUUCUUUACAACAAUGAAUAAAGAAUCAUAACUCACAAUUUGUAGUAAGGUACAAUGAAACAAAUGUAGCAAGUAGACGACACAAUGAAACCAAGUGUUUAGGCUUUUAGGGAUCAUUACCAUAUUCCCCCACCAAUUUGAUUUUCCUUCUAUGAGGAAUUCAAAUUAGCUAGAUUUAGCACCAUUUCUAUGGAAGGAUGAUAGAAUAUCAUGUGCUAUUAAUUGGAUCUAUUCAAAGGCCAGAAGUGAAAGGAACGUUGGUAGAUGGUAACCAGGAAUUGCCGGAGAUGAAGUUACCAGUCAUGAACUUUGCUGCUUCAGUUGAGCUAGUAAUCACAUUUCUUGAAUAUAUUUGAGUCUUGCAAAAGUGUUUUUGAGUGCACCAUUGUUCUAAAACUUUCAUAUCUUUAGUGCACCAUUCAAUCCUAGUUUACUUGUAUCAUUUGAGCCUAAAAUUUUAUACUAAGGGUUUGUGAAAUUAUUUAUAUAUCUUUGAGAGGAAUAAUCUAAGUGUGAGGUAUCACUUAGGGAUUCUCAAGUGAGGAGUAUCACUGGAGGGGUUGUCCAAGAGUGAGGUAUCUCUUGAGAAGUGUAAAUGGUGCUUGGAGCCAAAAGUCUAAGAUGGUGGAUUGGAACCAUAAUCCAAUUGUAUUACUUGAAGGCUUGGUUUGAAGCUUUGAAUUAGUGGAACCUCAAACUUGGGGUUGAAGCUAGAAGAGAGUGGAUGUAGAUCAAGUUGCGCCGAACCAAUAUAAAAAUCUUGUAUUUGCAUUCUCUCUUCCCUACUCCUUUACUUUAUAUGCAAUUGCCUUUACAUUGUUUUAUUAUAUACUUGCAUAUAUUUGUCUCUAACAUUCACAUAGUUUAAAUUUACAAAAAGAGACUAUCACCCUAUUCACCUCCCCUUUGAGGUGAUUACCAUAAGUUGGAUUAACCUAAUUUUUCUAACAUAUAGCAUUACUUAUUCUUUAAAAACUAUUUUAUAUCAAAAUGGGAAAAAGAAAAAAGAAAAUAUUAGUAGUUACAUUUGUUUAUUUUUUAUAACAUCAAUUAAUCUUUAUUUUCAAUAAGAACUCUAAAACUCAUUAAACUAUGAAAUACAGGUAUAUACUCCUAGGAGGAUGUUAUGGAGAAUAAAAAGAAAGGAGAAAUAGGCAACAAGAUAUGAGUUUUUAGAUGUGACUCUUAUGUCAUACAUUGUAGGAUAUAAACGUUACUUUAAUUUGUAUUGAGAAUUUUGGAUUUUUUGGUGCAACUCUUGUGUCAUUUUAUGGUUAGCUGGUUUUAUGCAUAUGAAAUGCAAGUAUACAUAAAUGUUGGAAUGUUUAACAUUUCUAAAUCAUGUUUUAAUGUGUAUUCACUUUUCUUUUUAGUUUUGGUAGGUUUGAUGUGUUUAAUGUAAUGUUUUUAGAACCGGACUGAUUCUUGAACCGAAAAAGUUACCAUUUCACGGUUCACUGGUCGAACCGGUGGUUGAACUAAUGACUUCAUAAAUAUAUAAUUUAUAAAUUAUUAAAAUUUAAAAUAAUCAUAAAAAUUAAAAUAGUAAUUUAUAUAUUAUUUAAAAAUCAGAAAAUUAGUUUCAAAUUAGAAAUUAAAAUGAAAAUCAUAAUUUUAAUUUAAAAUUUAAAUUUUUAAUAUUUAUUUUUAAAUAAAAAACUUAUUUUAAAAUUAGAAAUUAAUUUAAAAUGGUAAUGUUUUUACCAUUAAAUCAUAUCUCAUACUGUCAUACAUAUAAAAGGCAUUUUUUUAUUUUUACUUUAUCAACUCCCCCUGCACAGCAUUAUUAUUGUGAAGACCCACAAACAACGACACCACUAGAGAGGGAGCAAUCUGACUGUGAGGGGUUGCCUUGCCAACAUUAACAAGUCACCACCGCUGACACCAAAGCUUCUCUUUUCGGUAAUACUCGAUUUUUGGGAAAAUCAGGUAAAUCCUAAAUUAUGUCAUCAUCCUUGAUUACUACCAAAAAGUGCUAUUUUGUAGACCUAAUUAUAAUGGUUUUAAGCACCUUUGAGUAGUAAUCAUAUUCAUUUAACCCAAUUAAUUCAUUAAGGUCCUUAGUAAUUGGUUUUAACCAUUUUGUGGCAAGUUUACAUGUUUUUAUCAGCUUAUGAAUCAAUUCAAGCAUGCCAAAUGAUGGAGGAGCUACUUGGACAAGUUAUGGAAAAGCUUUUGGAAGCUCAAAUUCAUGAAGAACCAAGCUUUGGAGCUCCAUAGCCCUUUUCCAAAGUCGUUCAAAGUAUGCAAGGAAAGAGCAAGGAGAGAGGAAAAACAGAGUGAAGAAAACAGAGGAAAGCCAGUUGCAGUCUUCUUGUGCACUUUUGGAGCACUUCCCAAGUCCAUUUUCUACAUUCUAUAUACCAUUUGAAAGCUCAGGAAGUCAAGAAUCCAAUGCUUCAAACGGUGCACGAUUCGGAGUUGAAACGAAGAAGUUACAGCCACUGCAAGUCAAUCACUCUAAAGUGUUGCGAAAUCAGCCUUUUGUUGCGAGAAUUUCGCAGCCUUUUUGUACAGUGCUAUGGAAUUCCUCCUGAAGCUACCCGAUACAUGCCGCAAGCUGGAACGCUGAGAACCUCAAGGUGGAAUCCAACUUCGUAGCGGGGCGAGUUUAACUUGUUGUUGCGAAAAUAUUUCGCAGCCCUCUUGAGUGUCUGCGAAAUCUCGCAAACACCAUUUUUCACCUGCGAAAUGUUCCUGGAGCUUCCCGAUAUUUUUGCACCGACUCUUUUGGAUAUUUUUCUUCAGAUAUGUUUGUAUAAUUUCCAUUUUCUCCUUGUAUUCAACCACUCAUGUAAUUCCUUAGCUAGGAAGUAUCCAAGGAGGGGUAAAUUACCUUCCUAUAUAAACUCUCUUGUAAACACUCUCAGGAGACGCUCGGGGAAGUAUGUAAUAUAUAGAUAUAUCAUAUAUAGAAUCAAGGAACAGAGCACUUGCUCUGUUUUUCAUAUAUAUUUCUGCCUUCUCUUUCAUUUUUCAUUUCUUUUUAUUUCUAGCCAACCAAACUUUGAGGAUUUUUCCUCAGAGGAUGAGAGGCUAAGCUUUUUGUCUCUUGGAGUGAGGAAAGCCGGGUAAGUUUCCACAUGCAUAAUUUGGAAGUUUUGUUGUUUUAGUUUUUAAUGAAGAGAAAGUGUGACCCGUUAGUGAUUUCUAUGUUUUUAGUUAACUUAAAACGCCUUUAAAUCACCUGGGCCAACACUUGGUAAGGCAAGUGAUCUCCGUCCAUGGAGAUUCACUAGUUUAUCUCUUGCGAGCCUUUGUGAGGUGACUUGAAGGUAGGAUUUUCUAGAAUAGCCAACACUUGGUAAGCUUUUGGACUCCAAGGAGACAUCCAUUAGUUAUCUCUUGCGAGCUUUUGAAGGGAAGUCCAAGGUUAAAGAUCAUCUUGAAUGGUAAGUGCUCGUGAGAGGCAUGAACCAUUGCAAGUUGCAUCAGUGAGAGGGAUUUAGUGUUUGAACCCAUUAAUGGAAAGCAUCUGUACAACACCGGUUGGAGAAGGAACUAUAUGUUAAUUCUCUAAUGCGAGGAAAAGAAACAAGUGACCGGAACUCUCCUUUUUGUAUGAGGAACCUGAGCCUAGUGAUCUGAACUCCAAGAAACACUUUUCUUUGUAAGUAAAAUCAGUUACUAUUUUUGGUUAGUUUAAAACCAAACCUUUUUUUCAUUCAAACAUCUUUAUGUUUUCUUUUAAAGCUAACCUUAAAAUGAAAAGGCACCAAUUCAGCUUUGAAUUAAUAUCAUUUGCAAAGUGAAAACCCAUCCCAGUGAACGAUCCUAGAGCCACUAUACUAUAGUAGCUUUGUCUUUGCUACCCUAGUAUAUGGUGUAAUAGGUUAUAAAUUUUGUUGAUUACUCCCUCAAUCAAGGAGCACCAGCUGGACAUGAAUCAGCUGAGACACCAAUUGGGCACGAAUCAAAUGGCGCCGUUGCUGGGGAUCGAACCCCGAAUCAGAUGGUGCCAUUGCCACUGCCGCUGCUAGGGACGAAUCAAAUGGCGCCGUUGCCGGGGGUCGAACCCCGAAUCAGAUGGUGCCAUUGCCACUGCCGCUGCUAGGGACGAAUCAAAUGGCGCCGUUGCCAGGGAUCGAACCCCGAAUUAGAUGGUGCCAUUGCCACUGCCGCUGCUAGGGACGAAUCAAAUGGCGCCGUUGCCGGGGAUGGUGCCACUUUACAGUGAUAUCACCUUUUCAGAGUACUUGUGAUCUUCAUCACAAGUUUGGUGACUUUUCUUUUCCUUUUACUAACUCUUUUUAUUUCUUUAUUGUUCAUAUUUUAGUAUACCUUUUAUUUAGUUUUUAGUUUACCUUAAUUUUCUUUCUUUGAAUUGUUUUUCUUUUGUUUUCUUUUGUGUUCUCUGUUUUUAAUUCACAAAUUGCUAGUUGUGCAUGCCAUAUUGAAUACGAGAUAGCAGAGGAAGCCAUGAACUUCAUGAGUUAUGUGGCUGAAGUCUCAAGAGGAUGGGAUGAACCAAAUGCUAGAGAUAUGGAAAGAAUGAUGUCUCAACCUAAAGCUAAGGGUGAGAUGUAUAUUUUGAAUGAUGGUAUGAACAUGAAGGCAGAGAUUGCAGCUAUGGAAAGGAGAUUGGAUGAGCUAGAAAUGAACCAGAUGCAAGAAGUGCAAGCCAUCUCUCAAACACCAUUGCAAGCUAUGCCUUGUGCCAUUUGUCUAUCAUAUGAGCACUUGGUGGAUGAGUGUCCUACCAUUCCAGCCGAGAAGGAAAUGUUAGGUGAUUGCAACACCUACAAUUCCAAUUGGAGGGACCAUCCAAAUUUCUCUUGGAAACCACAGCCACCUCAGUAUCAGCAACCUGCUCAAGCACCACAGCAAGCCUCAAACCUUGAACAAGUUAUGGUGAAUCUUUGCAAGGUAAUGGGAGAUUUUAUUGGAAAGCAAGAAGCCACCAAUGCUCGACUUGAUCAAAGGAUGGAUGGAAUGCAAAAUGAUAUGAAUCAAAAAUUUGAUAACAUCCAGUAUUCAAUCUCCAGGCUCAUAAAUUUGAACACAGUGCAAGAGAAAGAAAACUCUCCUUCUCAACCUUAUCAAAAUUCCAUGAGUAUCCAUGAAGUGGAGGCUCAAGAGGGAGAAUCUUCAAUGGUGAAGGAAGUUGAAGAGGUUAUCACUCUGAGGAGUGGUAAAGAGGUUGAUCUGCCCACAUGCAAGCUAGAGCAUAAGGUAGAGAGUGAAACAGAGAAAGAAAAGAGGGAGGAAAUCAAAGGAAAGAAAAAGGGGAAAAACAUAGAAAAAGAUGGCUAUGAUGUUAAUGUACAUAGAAAAUCACAGAGGAUAGUCAUCAAGGAAGAAAUGAUGAAACACAUGCCUCCGCCUUUUCUCCAAGCUUUGUAUGGCAAAAUCAUACAGAUCACAUCUCAAGUGAGGGAUGCAAACUUCAUAUGGGAUCCGGGCAAGCUAAAUCAGGAGCAAAUUUUUUGAUGGACUUAGUCUUUCUAAAGACUAGCUAGUCCAUAUCUUUUUGUUUUGUUAAUUUCUUGUUUUAAUUUUGAUUUCAAUGCUUUAAUUUUGAUUUCAAUGCUUUAAUUCUAGUUUGUUUUGAUGUAAUAUAGGUUUUUGGAUGAUCAAAAUCAAGAGGAAUUGCAAAGAAAUUGAAGGAAGUCUUUCGGAGAAAAAUCAGAGCAAAAUCGGAGUCAAACGGAGCGAAAACAGAGAAAAAAACAGGGGAAAAACAGGGGUCUGCGAAAUUUCGCAGCCUCUGCGAAAUCGGCACUUUGUUGUGAAACCAGUUCGCAGCCCAAUUGCCCUCUCUGUGAAAUUUUCGCAGCUGCGAAACCAUUUUUGGCACACAAGUGCCACUUCGCAACACAGGAGCCCUCAUUUCGCAGUUGCGAAAGCGGCUGCGAACCACCAAAGCAUGAAAUCCUCCAUUUCGCAGGGAAAGCUCCAUUUGGAAGGGUGUUUCGCAGCUGCGAAGCCAACUUUUGGCACACGAGUGCCAUUUCGCAGCACAGUACCCUCAUUUCGCAGCUGCGAAAAUGACUGCGAAACCCAAAAAAAAAAAAAAAAAAUCAUUUUUUUUGGCAACAAAAGUCCCAUUCCGUAGAGGAUUUCGCGGUUGCGAAAGCACUUUUGGCACACGAGUGCCAUUUCGCAGCACAGUGACCCUCAUUUCGCAGCUGCGAAACGGCUGCGAAGUUCCAAAACGUGAAAAAUCCCAAUUUCACAGCCGCACCCCCAUUUCGGCAAUUGUUGGACACAUUUCGAUCACUUCCCGAAGUUCAAAUUGUGCAUGCAAUAUCUCGUUUCAAAUCUUAGGAAGUCACGAGUCCAUAGCUUCAAACGGUGCUCGAUUUGGAUUUGAAACGGAAAAGUUAUGGCUUUUUGAAGAUGACUGUGCAAACCAUGAGCGGAAAUGUUGCAGCUCCAUUUUGCUACUGUUGGACACAUUUUUGAAGCACUUCCUGGGGAUCAAAUUAUGCAUACGAUAUCUCGUUUCAGAGCUUGGGAAGUCAGGGGUCCAGCGCUUCAAACGGUAUGCGAUUUGGAGGUGAAAUGAAGAAGUUAUGGUCGUUUGAAGACAAGCGCGCAAAGCUGAGCGAGAAUUUUGCAGCCGAGACGCCAUUUGGAAGGGUGUUUCGCAGCUGCGAAACCACUUUUUGGCACACGAGUGCCAUUUGCAGCACAGUUCUCCUCAUUUUGAAGUUGCGAUACACCUGCGAAAUCACUUUUGAGCUACGAAAUGGCUAUGAAAUGAUUUUCAAGCUGCGAAAUGACUAUGAAAUGAUCUCCAAACUUUGAAAUGGCUGCAAAAUCACCUCCAAGCUUAGAAAUGACCUUCAAAUUGCGAAAUUGACUUGUGAAAUGGAGGGUGAUUUACAAAAACACCUUGCAAAGCCAAGGGAAGUUGCUAAAAUGCCAAUAGAGCCCUGCAACCAUGCAUCUGAAGAGGAGAGCCCCGAGCACCUUGAGAUCACACACACAAAGCCUCUCACUCCAUUUCUAACCUCCUAAAACCAUCAAAUCCCAUAGCUCUAGCUGAGAGCUCCAGUUGAGGAGACUAUGCCACCUAAGGAGACUACCAGAAUAGAGGCCAAAGUUCUGAUCCAACCCACUCAAGAGGCCACCACAGACACAUCAGCUCCAUAGGACCCUACCAUUACUUGAUCAUCUUUUUACUUUUUGUCUUUACAUAUUAUAUUAGUAUACAUAGCUCCAUGUUUUGAUGUCUUAUAUUCUGGGAUUGGAUGUAUUACUGAUGAUGCAUCAUAUAUAGACAUCAUUUUUGUAUAAACUUGGCAUUUUUCUAUUUCCUCUACUCACUAACUCUUAUGUUUUCUUUGAAACAUGUGGUUUCUCCUAUACGACUCAGACUCCAUGUUACUCAAGAGGUACCACUUCCUCCCUAUUUUUCAAUCGCUUUUGUCACAUUGAGGACAAUGUUCAGCUUGGUUGGGGGGAGAGUUGAGGAAGUAAGUAUUGUUAAUAAUGCUAAGUUAUUUUGGUAAUUUAGUUGCUUUUUGCUUAAUUUUUAAAAAAUUUUGCUUUAAACUCCAUGGAUAUUAAGGAUUAACUCUCAAAAUUAAAUGAGAGAAGUCGAGUUUCAACUUGAUUACAUGAAUCUUAGAGUUUGUAUUAUGCUUUUCUAAAAGUUGAUGAAUUGUUGAAACUCCAAUUGCAUGCAAACUUAUCUCUUCCACCUUAAGCUAUUCGCACACACAUACAUUAGAUUCCGGUUAUAAGAUGUGAAACUAUCUCACCCUCUAAGCUUGAGAAAUCAUAAUUUGACACCUUUAACCUAUCUUUAAUAGUGUUGGGACACCUCAUAAAGACCAAUGAGUCUUUGGAAAAAAAAAAAAUAGAAUAAACUUCUUUACUUGCCUUGAAACCUGAGCAUGGUCCGAAGGGGUGGCGAAAGCCUUUAAAGCCUGGUGCCCUAAGCCUUUAUUGGUUGGGAGUCACUGAUCCUCUGCUUGUUACAUGGGUGAAUUGGUUAAGUUUAGUAAGUGAAAAGAAUUGUGAAUAAGAGGUGCGUUCCUAGCCUAUCAAGAGAUGGUUAAUUUUGCUAAGAUUAAAGAAAGACUUAGGUUGGGGGGAGAUGAUAUUUAUCCAUACUAUACUCGGAAGCUAAUCAUAUUAACACUUAGCUUUUAAUGGAAGAAUUUGAUUUGGAUCUUUUGAGAGUGGAAAUUCUUUUGAUGCUUAAACUUGCAUAAUAUCCAUUCUUUGUACUCUAUGAUCAAGUGAAUGCUUUGACAACUCUUAUUAUAGGUUGAGUUUCACAUCUUUAUUGAUCCAUGGAUGUCCGUCAUGCCACUCAAUUAUUUUUUAGAGUGAUUUGCAUGAUCCCUUUUAUGUAUAUUAUUAUAGUUUACUUAGUUUUUAUCUCCUCCAUUGCUAAGGGACUAGCAAUGAGUCGGUUGGGGGGUGUGAUUACUACCAAAAAGUGCUAUUUUGUAGACCUAAUUAUAAUGGUUUUAAGCACCUUUGAGUAGUAAUCAUAUUCAUUUAACCCAAUUAAUUCAUUAAGGUCCUUAGUAAUUGGUUUUAACCAUUUUGUGGCAAAUUUACAUGUUUUUAUCAGCUUAUGAAUCAAUUCAAGCAUGCCAAAUGAUGGAGGAGCUACUUGGACAAGUUAUGGAAAAGCUUUUGGAAGCUCAAAUUCAUGAAGAACCAAGCUUUGGAGCUCCAUAGCCCUUUGCCAAAGUCGUUCAAAGUAUGCAAGGAAAGAGCAAGGAGAGAGGAAAAACAGAGUGAAGAAAACAGAGGAAAGCCAGUUGCAGUCUUCUUGUGCACUUUUGGAGCACUUCCCAAGUCCAUUUUCUACAUUCUAUAUACCAUUUGAAAGCUCAGGAAGUCAAGAAUCCAAUGCUUCAAACGGUGCACGAUUCGGAGUUGAAACGAAGAAGUUACAGCCACUACAAGUCAAUCACUCUAAAGUGUUGCGAAAUCAGCCUUUUGUUGCGAGAAUUUCGCAGCCUUUUUGUACAGUGCUAUGGAAUUCCUCCUGAAGCUACCCGAUACAUGCCGCAAGCUGGAACGCUGAGAACCUCAAGGUGGAAUCCAACUUCGCAGCGGGGCGAGUUUAACUUGUUGUUGCGAAAAUAUUUCGCAGCCCUCUUGAGUGUCUGCGAAAUCUCGCAAACACCAUUUUUCACCUGCGAAAUGUUCCUGGAGCUUCCCGAUAUUUUUGCACCAACUCUUUUGGAUAUUUUUCUUCAGAUAUUUUUGUAUAAUUUCCAUUUUCUCCUUGUAUUCAACCACUCAUGUAAUUCCUUAGCUAGGAAGUAUCCAAUGAGGGGUAAAUUACCUUCCUAUAUAAACUCUCUUGUAAACACUCUCAGGAGACGCUCGGGGAAGUAUGUAAUAUAUAGAUAUAUCAUAUAUAGAAUCAAGGAACAGAGCACUUGCUCUGUUUUUCAUAUAUAUUCCUGCCUUCUCUUUCAUUUUUCAUUUCUUUUUAUUUCUAGCCAACCAAACUUUGAGGAUUUUUCCUCAGAGGAUGAGAGGCUAAGCUUUUUGUCUCUUGGAGUGAGGAAAGCCGGGUAAGUUUCCACAUGCAUAAUUUGGAAGUUUUGUUGUUUUAGUUUUUAAUGAAGAGAAAGUGUGACCCGUUAGUGAUUUCUAUGUUUUUAGUUAACUUAAAACGCCUUUAAAUCACCUGGGCCAACACUUGGUAAGGCAAGUGAUCUCCGUCCAUGGAGAUUCACUAGUUUAUCUCUUGCGAGCCUUUGGGAGGUGACUUGAAGGUAGGAUUUUCUAGAAUAGCCAACACUUGGUAAGUUUUUGGACUCCAAGGAGACAUCCAUUAGUUAUCUCUUGCGAGCUUUUGAAGGGAAGUCCAAGGUUAAAGAUCAUCUUGAAUGGUAAGUGCUCGUGAGAGGCAUGAACCAUUGCAAGUUGCAUCAGUGAGAGGGAUUUAGUGUUUGAACCCAUUAAUGGAAAGCAUCUGUACAACACCGGUUGGAGAAGGAACUAUAUGUUAAUUCUCUAAUGCGAGGAAAAGAAACAAGUGACCGAAACUCUCCUUUUUGUAUGAGGAACCUGAGCCUAGUGAUCUGAACUCCAAGAAACACUUUUCUUUGUAAGUAAAAUCAGUUACUAUUUUUGGUUAGUUUAAAACCAAACCUUUUUUUCAUUCAAACAUCUUUAUGUUUUCUUUUAAAGCUAACCUUGAAAUGAAAAGGCACCAAUUCAGCUUUGAAUUAAUAUCAUUUGCAAAGUGAAAACCCAUCCCAGUGAACGAUCCUAGAGCCACUAUACUAUAGUAGCUUUGUCUUUGCUACCCUAGUAUAUGGUGUAAUAGGUUAUAAAUUUUGUUGAUUACUCCCUCAAUCAAGGAGCACCAGCUGGACAUGAAUCAGCUGAGACACCAAUUGGGCACGAAUCAAAUGGCGCCGUUACUGGGGAUCGAACCCCGAAUCAGAUGGUGCCAUUGCCACUGCCGCUGCUAGGGACGAAUCAAUCCUUCGGUGGUUUCUCCUCUUAUUUUCAAACAGGUCACGAGUUGGGUUUUUUCUUCAUCAUCUUCUUUGAUCUUCUAGGUUAAAAGUUCCAAUUUCAUAAUUGGGUGUUUGCUUUUGAAAAGGGAAUUUCUGAUUUUUAUUUUUUAUCUCAAAAAUGUUCUUAUAUGUUAUUGUGAUUGGGAAGAAAAUGAAAAGGUUUGAAAAAAAAUUUGUAACCUAACCAAGUCACGGUCAACUGUGGGUGGGGGAAGAACGUUCUAGAAGAACGAAGAAGAAAGGGAAGACAUCAUUUUGGAAGCCAAGGAAAAAAGUUCAUUUGAACCAUUCGAUUCGUUAAAAACUGGUCGGAUCAGCCUGUCCGUUGGUUCCGACGGUUUGAUAGCGGUUCAAAGGUUGACCGAUUCAAAUGGAUGAACCGAACAAGACUGAUGACUAGUCGAAUCAGCCAGUUUAAACCGGUUUUUAAAACGUUGGUUUAAUGUACUAUCUUUUUGUGAACAUUUGAUAUACAAAUAUUAUUGCAUGGUGUAAUGUAUUACAAAUUAAUUCAUAAGCAUUACAAAAAUAUAAGUUAAAUAUGAUAUAAUUAUUAUAUUCAUGGACAAAAUAUACACUGGUUGAUCUUAUUUCUUAAUAAACAUUACAAAAAUUUACAAAUUAAUCAAUAAAAAAAAACAACCAUAUCUUCUAUAAUCAUUUACAAUGAUGUGACACCAUAACUCAAAUGUAAUACAUUUAACGUGAUACCAUAACCCAAAGGUGAUGCAUUUAAUAGGACACCCUAUAUAUCUCACAUAACUCCAUAUCAAAUUAAGCAUCACUAUAAAUAUACAAUGUCGCUCCUGAAUAUGUCACCAUUUAUCUAUUUUGGUGUCACUUCCAAAUACAUCACCAAUUGGUACCCUUUAUGGUGUUAAUGGAUAAGAUGACACUCUACGUUGAGCCUUAAUAUGAGAUUAUCAUUGGCCUACUAAGCAUUCCCAGAACUCUCAAGAAAUGAAUUUGUAUUCAAGGUAGUUAGAGGUGGUUACUCGUAUCCUCUCAAGAAAUUGAGAUGUCUACCAAGGAGCACAAGGUGCUAAGUCACCAUUGUAAAAACAAAGUACAGAUAUUGGUCCGUGCAAGUUUCUUGGGAGAAGGUAGCAUGUAGUUGGAGUAAACCUUUAUAUUUGAUUUUCAUAUUUAAUAGAAUCGUUAUGCAAUCAAUAAAACCAUGGUUCUUACAUUUGUAGGUUUUGUGUGAGAUUAUGUAGAUGAUUUUUCAUGUAAAUCGCUAAUAUUGUGAUAUAAUUGAAUUUUUAUUCAUAUCCCUAGAUAUUUUGAAUUGGUCAAAAAAGUAAAAAAUAAAAUUUAUUUAAAUUUUGAAUUUUAGGCUUUAAACUCAACACCAUUAACCCUAUAUAUAGAUACAUAGUUUCACAAACCAAGUUAAAGACUUUCAAAUCAAAUCCAGGGAAUCAGAAGAUGAAAGUUUCUCAAAUCACAAUGUGAGAAUUAUCUUAUUAAAACUCAAAGAAAAUUAGUGGCUCACAAAAAAAAUGUAAUUUCAUUCAAUAUCAUUCUUUACAACAAUGAAUAAAGAACCAUAACUCACAAUUUGUAGUAAGGUACAAUGAAACAAAUGUAGCUAUUACACGACACAAUGAAACCAAGUGUUUAGGCUUUUAGGGAUCAUUACCAUAUUCCCCCACCAAUUUGAUUUUCCUCCUACGAGGAAUUCAAAUUAGCUAGAUAUAGCACCAUUUCUAUGGAAGG